AUUGAACGCUGGCGGCAUGCCUAACACAUGCAAGUCGAACGGCAGCACAGCAGAGCUUGCUCUGUGGGUGGCGAGUGGCGGACGGGUGAGUAAUACAUCGGGACCUACCCAGACGUGGGGGAUAACCUCGGGAAACCGGGACUAAUACCGCAUACGUCCUACGGGAGAAAGCGGGGGACCUUCGGGCCUCGCGCGUUUGGACGGACCGAUGUUCGAUUAGCUUGUUGGUGGGGUAAAGGCCUACCAAGGCGACGAUCGAUAGCUGGUCUGAGAGGAUGAUCAGCCACAUUGGGACUGAGACACGGCCCAAACUCCUACGGGAGGCAGCAGUGGGGAAUAUUGGACAAUGGGCGCAAGCCUGAUCCAGCAAUGCCGCGUGUGUGAAGAAGGCCCUCGGGUUGUAAAGCACUUUUAUCAGGAACGAAAUCGGCAGGGUUAAUAGCCAUGUCGUCUGACGGUACCUGAGGAAUAAGCACCGGCUAACUUCGUGCCAGCAGCCGCGGUAAUACGAAGGGUGCAAGCGUUAAUCGGAAUUACUGGGCGUAAAGGGUGCGUAGGCGGUUAGUUAAGUCUGUUGUGAGAUCCCCGGGCUCAACCUGGGAAUGGCAAUGGAUACUGGCUGGCUAGAGUGUGU
rnacentral:rRNA from 1 species